rnacentral:rRNA from 1 species
GUGCCAGCCGCCGCGGUAAUACAGAGGGUGCGAGCGUUAAUCGGAUUUACUGGGCGUAAAGCGUGCGUAGGCGGCUUUUUAAGUCGGAUGUGAAAUCCCCGAGCUUAACUUGGGAAUUGCAUUCGAUACUGGGAAGCUAGAGUAUGGGAGAGGAUGGUAGAAUUCCAGGUGUAGCGGUGAAAUGCGUAGAGAUCUGGAGGAAUACCGAUGGCGAAGGCAGCCAUCUGGCCUAAUACUGACGCUGAGGUACGAAAGCAUGGGGAGCAAACAGGAUUAGAUACCCCAGUAGUCC